CGGGCAGACGGACAGCUGGCCGGCCGGACUUUCCUUUCAUGCCCGCAGCCCUGGCCCGCACUCGCUUCUCACAGAGCCGCUGUUUUCCUGGGGCGACGCCUCUGGCCGGGGCCGAAGCGAGGGCGCUGUGCUCUGCGCACAGGGCGGGCAGCGCGGUUCCCCGCGGCCGAGGCCGGAGCGGGCGAGGUCUGUGCUGCGGGCCGAGGCAGAGACGAGCGCUCUAAGAAGAGCAGCGGGGCCGAGGCCAUUGUGGGCUUUGCACAUAGAACCAUCGAAUAGUUUGGGCUGGAAAGGACCUUAAAAGGUCAUCUGGUCUAACGCCCUGCAAUGAGCAGGGACAUCUUCAACUAGAUCAGGUUGCUCGGAGCCCGGUCCAGCCUGGCCUGGAAUGUCUCCAGGGAUGGGGCAUCUACCACCUCUCUGGACAACCUGGGCCAGUGUUCCACCACCCUCGUUGUGAAAAAUUUCUUCCUCAUGUCCAGCCUGAAUCUCUUCUCCUUUAGUUUAAAACCAUCACCCCUAGUCCUGUUGCUACAGGCCCUGCUAAAGAGUCUGUCCCCAUCUUUCUUAUUGGCCCCCUUUAAGUAUUGAGGGGCUGCCACAGGUCUCCCUGGAGCCUUCUCCAGGCUGAACAGCCCCAGCUCUCUCAGCCUGUCCUCACAGCACAGCUGUUCCAGCCCCCUGAUCAUUUUUGUGGCCUCCUCUGGCCCCUCUCCAACAGGUCCAUGCCAUGAGGGCUCCAUGCCCUGCCAACCUGCACACUUGCUCAGACUUCGCCGUGGGUCCAAGAGUCACAUCACUGAGGCCAGGACCUGGAACUGAACGGUUCUCAUUCUUUCAGGACACUGUCUAACACACAGGAAUGCUUCCUCAUGGCAGUGCAAUAGGAGAGGGACCUCAGGGUGACUCUCUGGGCCUGUGGGAGAGCUCAGUGGCCUGGCUGUCAACAAGAACAGCCUGUUACUUGUGAACUGGUCAAGAUUAACGUCAUGAUGCCAAUAUUGAAGAACAGUAUCAAAGUACAGGGUACCCUAGAGGACCUGAUUUAUAUCACCCCCAGAGCCAAGUGCUAUGGAGUGGUUUUGAGUGUCCAGCAUGCCCACAACAGAGCAGUGUACCAUCUGAGUCUGAAUAAUUUAAGUUGAAAACCAUCUAAUUCUAGGAAAAUCAUUAGAUAAAUAGGAAAGGGGAGUUGUGUGGACUGUAGAUGUGUCAUACAAGUCUGGAGAAGGUCUUGGAGACCAGUGACUACAAGACUUGCUAACCACUGAGAAUUGGAGCUGGAGGAAAAGAAGACCAGUAAUGUUUUUGGGUUUCCCUGAAGAAAGCUCAGGCUAAGAGCAAAGAGGGCUACUUGCUGGCUUUGCUCCAGAGGAGCAGGUCUCAGGUGAGCAAGCUGAUGCAAAGAGGAAAAAUUCAAGUGCUGUGCUCUGCUCAGAAGGAAGGACGAAACGAGAAAAUGCCCAGGAUGGCUCUCAUGGACGUUUGGAGGUUGGAUUCCUGCACACUGACCUGUGCUGGCAGGUCCUCCUGCCUGCACACUGUCCAUCUGGAACUUGCAGACCAGGGAAAAUCAGUGACUUCCAAGGCCCAUGUGUGUCACUGAGUUUUUAAUCACUGAUUAAAUCCUUCGUACCUCGCUACCUAAGCUAUUGCUGCAACAUCUGAUUGACCUAAAAUCUGUUGAGCAAAGACUGGUGAAACAGCAACAGAAAUGGCAAAUCCAUUCAUCAGCUCCCAUGAAUUUUGCCUGUCAGCUAAAGCCUUCAUAUUAACUGCAUUUUCCUGGAGAACCAGAUUCAUGUUUGGGUAAACCUAGCAAUGGAAUGCAAACUUAUUGAUAAGCAUGGAUGGACAUCUCGCGAGAGGGGCGACGAGAAACCGGUGACCAAGAAACUGACCAACUGUGUAUAACAUUCCAUUCACGUGAAUACUCCAUAUAAAAGUGGAAGAUCACGAGGAUCUCGGCCCUUUUUCCCUUUUCCCUUCUGCUUAUGGCCGACAUUAGGAGAGGACCUUGCUAGUCGUCCCUGCGAACUGAGGCCUAGUGAGAGACUGAAUCCAGCUCCGGUUGGCUGCAGAGUUCAAUCCAGGACUUCGGGUGCCGGCUCUGCAGUUGCUGAGACUUUCAAGAAUGGUUUUGUAUAUUUUGUAUUAUUUUCUCUAUUCUUAUUAGUAGCAUUAGUAAAACAUUGUUAAUUUUUCCAACUCUCUUCUCUCUGUCC